GCUCCGAUGCGGACGGGGAAACUUCCCCUCGCUGAGUCAGGCGCUUGGGCAAGAGCCCGGAGCGAGCGCGGACGGCACGAGCCGGCAGCUCCGGUUCUCGCUUCCCGAUCCCUGCUCCGGCACCCAUGAAGCCCUACGUGGUCUACGAGCAGCUGGAGAAGCCGGAGGAGCCUCCCGCGCCGCAGCUUGGCCGCUCGGCACAGAAGUGCUCCCGCUGUGCCGUGCUGGCUGCCGCCAUCAUCACCCUCCUCUCCUGCCUGCUCUUCCUCCACCUCUUCAACGCCCGUUCAGGCUCGGCGGCGCCGGGACGCG